AGGGUUCGAUUAUGGCUCAGGAUGAACGCUAGCUACAGGCUUAACACAUGCAAGUCGAGGGGAAACGAUAGAGAAAGCUUGCUUUUUCUAGGCGUCGACCGGCGCACGGGUGAGUAACGCGUAUCCAACCUGCCCAUCACUUGGGGAUAACCUUGCGAAAGUAAGACUAAUACCCAAUGAUAUCUCUAGAAGACAUCUGAAGGAGAUUAAAGAUUUAUCGGUGAUGGAUGGGGAUGCGUCUGAUUAGCUUGUUGGCGGGGUAACGGCCCACCAAGGCGACGAUCAGUAGGGGUUCUGAGAGGAAGGUCCCCCACAUUGGAACUGAGACACGGUCCAA
rnacentral:rRNA from 1 species